UACGGGGGGGGCAAGCGUUGUUCGGAAUUACUGGGCGUAAAGGGCUCGUAGGCGGCCAACUAAGUCCGACGUGAAAUCCCAAGGCUUAACCUUGGAACUGCGUCGGAUACUGGAUGGCUUGAAUUCGGGAGAGGGAUGCAGAAUUCCAGGUGUAGCGGUGAAAUGCGUAGAUAUCUGGAGGAACACCGGUGGCGAAGGCGGCAUCCUGGACCGGUAUUGACGCUGAGGCGCGAAAGCCAGGGGAGCAAACGGG
rnacentral:rRNA from 1 species